UGCGGCAGCGCCAGGUAUCCAGUGACCCCCCUCAGGACCCUGAGGAGCCACCCCGGGGGUCUCAGGGGUCCCGGGGGUCCCUGCGGCCACUGCUGCUGCGCCUGGGGGGGCUCCUGGCGGCCUCGGGCGGCGCCGCCGUGCUCUACGUGUUCGGCAGCAACGCCGUGGACGAGCACGGGGACAAGGUGAGG